AUGAAGACUGAUAACCCGUUUACCUCGUCUCGUGUAAGUCGUCCUAAAGUGAUCGUCCUGCCGCCGUCCAGUGAAGAGAUUUCCAUCAAGAAGACAGCAACACUGAUGUGUGUGGCCAGCAAUGGUUUCCCUUCAGACUGGAGUCUGAGCUGGAAAGUGAAUGGGAAGAUGUCAGGAUCUCAGGAGAACAGAGCUGGAGUCCUACAGAAAGACGGCGGUCUGUACAGCUGGAGCAGCAGUCUGACUCUCACUGAACAAGAAUGGAUCAACAGAGACUCAGUGAUCUGUGAGAUCAGUCGGGAAGGUCAGACAGUCACUGGAGAAGUGAAGAAAGAUCUGUGUUCUGAGUAG